AUGGAUGAUACCAAUGUGAGUGAUCAUGAGCACAUAUUUGAUUCAUAUGUGGGCCGAAUCUGCUAGUGUUAAUGGGAACCGGUUAUUACUAUGGAUAUUUAUGAUCCAAGAAAUUUUGGUAGUCUUGAUAACAAAACGAGGGACAUAUUAGUUGAGAAGGGCAAAAGGGAAGAAGAAAACACUAAAUAUCCGUUGGAUGAAAAUUUAUGACAUUUUUCGUAUAUCCAUUACUCAAGAAAAAUGAGCAAUGAAGAGGUGCGUGAUAGGUGCUUAGUUUUUUCAAAUCACGCAAAAUAAGUGUUUUGUUUUUGCUGUAAGCUUUUCAAUUUUGAUAAAUGCAAAAGUGCAUUGGGGCAUGAUGAGUUUUGUGAUUGGCAGCAUAUUAGUGAGAGACCGAAAGAACAUGAAUCUAGUAUCGACCACAUUAUAAACAUAAACUCUUGGAAUGAACUGAGAAGUAGACUGAGCAAACAUGAAAUAAUUGACAAAUAGUUACAACAACAAAUCACAAAGGAGAAGGAAUGCAUAUGGCAAGUUUUACUAAGAAUAGUUGCCAUUGUGAAAUUUCUUGGUAAUCGCAAUUUGGCUUUUAGACGAUCCAACGAGCAACUUUAUGAUGAUUCCAAUAAUUUCUUAGCUUGUGUGGAGAUGGUUGCAGAAUUUGAUUUGGUAAUGCAAGAUCAUCUUAGGCGUAUUCAAAACAAAGAUAUCCAUUACCGGCCAUAGAUUCAGAAUGAGUUGAUUUCUUUUAUGGCUGCUGACAUUAGAAAUUCUAUCAUCAAGAUUUUCAAAGUGGCUAAAUAUUUCACUGUUAUCCUAGAUUGUACCCCAGAUAUGAGUCAUCAAGAACAAAUGAGUUUGUUGGUUUGAUUUAUUCAUAUGUCUAAUGGAAAAAUACAAAUUGUGGAGUACUUUCUUGGUUUUUUGGUAGUGGACGACACAUCUGGUUUGGGAAUUUUUAAUCUAUUGGUUGAUUCUUUGAAGUCCUUUGAUCUUAAUAUUGAUGACAUUAGGGGGCAAGGUUAUGACAAUGGAUCUAACAUGAAAGGAAAACAGGGGGUGCAAACUCGGUCGCUUGAGGUAAAUCUAAGAGCUUUGUAUCUGUCAUGUGUUUGCCACAGCCUCAAUCUCACUCUGUGUGAUAUGGACAAAUCUUGUGAUAAAGUUGUUAUUUUUUUUGGAAUUGUGCAACGAAUAUAUGUACUAUUUAGUGGUUUUACCAAAAGAUGGAACAUUUUUGUUAGCCAUGUGAAAUAUUUAACUCUGAAAUCUUUGAGCAAUACUCGCUGGGAGAGUCGGAUCAAAAGUGUUAAAGCAAUUAGAUUUCAAGCUCCUAACAUAAGAUCAACUCUACUUGAGUUAAGUGAAGAUAUUGGUACCGAACCCAAAGUAGAGCAAGUCUCAUAUUAG
rnacentral:rRNA from 1 species